rnacentral:ncRNA from 2 species
AAAAUUGACACCGUCACGGGUGAACGGGAAGUCCGGUGAGAGUCCGGCGCUGUCCUCGCAACCGUGAGCAGGCAAAAACUCGGGGGGUUUAACCACUGGGAAGGAAAGGUGAUAAGCCGCCUUCCUGGGAAGGUUAAACCCUUUAAGAAGCCUGCGAGCCGGGAGACCGGCCCGUGAUGGGUAGGUGAA